UUGCGCGCCCCCGACUAGCCAGCAA
rnacentral:misc_RNA from 1 species